rnacentral:rRNA from 2 species
ACUAAGCGUACACGGUGGAUGCCCUGGCAGUCAGAGGCGAUGAAGGACGUGCUAAUCUGCGAUAAGCGUCGGUAAGGUGAUAUGAACCGUUAUAACCGGCGAUUUCCGAAUGGGGAAACCCAGUGUGAUUCGUCACACUAUCAUUAACUGAAUCCAUAGGUUAAUGAGGCGAACCGGGGGAACUGAAACAUCUAAGUACCCCGAGGAAAAGAAAUCAACCGAGAUUCCCCCAGUAGCGGCGAGCGAACGGGGAGCAGCCCAGAGCCUGAAUCAGUGUGUGUGUUAGUGGAAGCGUCUGGAAAGGCGCGCGAUACAGGGUGACAGCCCCGUACACAAAAAUGCACAUGCUGUGAGCUCGAUGAGUAGGGCGGGACACGUGGUAUCCUGUCUGAAUAUGGGGGGACCAUCCUCCAAGGCUAAAUACUCCUGACUGACCGAUAGUGAACCAGUACCGUGAGGGAAAGGCGAAAAGAACCCCGGCGAGGGGAGUGAAAAAGAACCUGAAACCGUGUACGUACAAGCAGUGGGAGCACGCUUAGGCGUGUGACUGCGUACCUUUUGUAUAAUGGGUCAGCGACUUAUAUUCUGUAGCAAGGUUAACCGAAUAGGGGAGCCGAAGGGAAACCGAGUCUUAACUGGGCGUUAAGUUGCAGGGUAUAGACCCGAAACCCGGUGAUCUAGCCAUGGGCAGGUUGAAGGUUGGGUAACACUAACUGGAGGACCGAACCGACUAAUGUUGAAAAAUUAGCGGAUGACUUGUGGCUGGGGGUGAAAGGCCAAUCAAACCGGGAGAUAGCUGGUUCUCCCCGAAAGCUAUUUAGGUAGCGCCUCGUGAAUUCAUCUCCGGGGGUAGAGCACUGUUUCGGCAAGGGGGUCAUCCCGACUUACCAACCCGAUGCAAACUGCGAAUACCGGAGAAUGUUAUCACGGGAGACACACGGCGGGUGCUAACGUCCGUCGUGAAGAGGGAAACAACCCAGACCGCCAGCUAAGGUCCCAAAGUCAUGGUUAAGUGGGAAACGAUGUGGGAAGGCCCAGACAGCCAGGAUGUUGGCUUAGAAGCAGCCAUCAUUUAAAGAAAGCGUAAUAGCUCACUGGUCGAGUCGGCCUGCGCGGAAGAUGUAACGGGGCUAAACCAUGCACCGAAGCUGCGGCAGCGACACUAUGUGUUGUUGGGUAGGGGAGCGUUCUGUAAGCCUGUGAAGGUGUACUGUGAGGUAUGCUGGAGGUAUCAGAAGUGCGAAUGCUGACAUAAGUAACGAUAAAGCGGGUGAAAAGCCCGCUCGCCGGAAGACCAAGGGUUCCUGUCCAACGUUAAUCGGGGCAGGGUGAGUCGACCCCUAAGGCGAGGCCGAAAGGCGUAGUCGAUGGGAAACAGGUUAAUAUUCCUGUACUUGGUGUUACUGCGAAGGGGGGACGGAGAAGGCUAUGUUGGCCGGGCGACGGUUGUCCCGGUUUAAGCGUGUAGGCUGGUUUUCCAGGCAAAUCCGGAAAAUCAAGGCUGAGGCGUGAUGACGAGGCACUACGGUGCUGAAGCAACAAAUGCCCUGCUUCCAGGAAAAGCCUCUAAGCAUCAGGUAACAUCAAAUCGUACCCCAAACCGACACAGGUGGUCAGGUAGAGAAUACCAAGGCGCUUGAGAGAACUCGGGUGAAGGAACUAGGCAAAAUGGUGCCGUAACUUCGGGAGAAGGCACGCUGAUAUGUAGGUGAAGCGACUUGCUCGUGGAGCUGAAAUCAGUCGAAGAUACCAGCUGGCUGCAACUGUUUAUUAAAAACACAGCACUGUGCAAACACGAAAGUGGACGUAUACGGUGUGACGCCUGCCCGGUGCCGGAAGGUUAAUUGAUGGGGUUAGCGCAAGCGAAGCUCUUGAUCGAAGCCCCGGUAAACGGCGGCCGUAACUAUAACGGUCCUAAGGUAGCGAAAUUCCUUGUCGGGUAAGUUCCGACCUGCACGAAUGGCGUAAUGAUGGCCAGGCUGUCUCCACCCGAGACUCAGUGAAAUUGAACUCGCUGUGAAGAUGCAGUGUACCCGCGGCAAGACGGAAAGACCCCGUGAACCUUUACUAUAGCUUGACACUGAACAUUGAGCCUUGAUGUGUAGGAUAGGUGGGAGGCUUUGAAGUGUGGACGCCAGUCUGCAUGGAGCCGACCUUGAAAUACCACCCUUUAAUGUUUGAUGUUCUAACGUUGACCCGUAAUCCGGGUUGCGGACAGUGUCUGGUGGGUAGUUUGACUGGGGCGGUCUCCUCCUAAAGAGUAACGGAGGAGCACGAAGGUUGGCUAAUCCUGGUCGGACAUCAGGAGGUUAGUGCAAUGGCAUAAGCCAGCUUGACUGCGAGCGUGACGGCGCGAGCAGGUGCGAAAGCAGGUCAUAGUGAUCCGGUGGUUCUGAAUGGAAGGGCCAUCGCUCAACGGAUAAAAGGUACUCCGGGGAUAACAGGCUGAUACCGCCCAAGAGUUCAUAUCGACGGCGGUGUUUGGCACCUCGAUGUCGGCUCAUCACAUCCUGGGGCUGAAGUAGGUCCCAAGGGUAUGGCUGUUCGCCAUUUAAAGUGGUACGCGAGCUGGGUUUAGAACGUCGUGAGACAGUUCGGUCCCUAUCUGCCGUGGGCGCUGGAGAACUGAGGGGGGCUGCUCCUAGUACGAGAGGACCGGAGUGGACGCAUCACUGGUGUUCGGGUUGUCAUGCCAAUGGCACUGCCCGGUAGCUAAAUGCGGAAGAGAUAAGUGCUGAAAGCAUCUAAGCACGAAACUUGCCCCGAGAUGAGUUCUCCCUGACUCCUUGAGAGUCCUGAAGGAACGUUGAAGACGACGACGUUGAUAGGCCGGGUGUGUAAGCGCAGCGAUGCGUUGAGCUAACCGGUACUAAUGAACCGUGAGGCUUAACC